rnacentral:rRNA from 1 species
CGUACAUCCAGAGAACUUAGCAGAGAUGCUUUGGUGCCUUCGGGAACUCUGAGACAGGUGCUGCAUGGCUGUCGUCAGCUCGUGUUGUGAAAUGUUGGGUUAAGUCCCGNAACGAGCGCAACCCUUAUCCUUUGUUGCCAGCGGUUCGGCCGGGAACUCAAAGGAGACUGCCGGUGAUAAACCGGAGGAAGGUGGGGAUGACGUCAAGUCAUCAUGGCCCUUACGGCCAGGGCUACACACGUGCUACAAUGGCGCAUACAAAGAGAAGCGACCUCGCGAGAGCAAGCGGACCUCAUAAAGUGCGUCGUAGUCCGGAUUGGAGUCUGCAACUCGACUCCAUGAAGUCGGAAUCGCUAGUAAUCGUAGAUCAGAAUGCUACGGUGAAUACGUUCCCGGGCCUUGUACACACCGCCCGUCACACCAUGGGAGUGGGUUGCAAAAGAAGUAGGUAGCUUAACCUUCGGGAGGGCGCUUACCACUUUGUGAUUCAUGACUGGGGUGAAGUCGUAACAAGGUAGGCGUAGCGAG